rnacentral:rRNA from 1 species
UACGUAGGGUGUGAGCGUUGUCCGGAAUUAUUGGGCGUAAAGAGCUUGUAGGCGGUCUGUCGCGUCUGCUGUGAAAAUCCGGGGCUCAACCCCGGACUUGCAGUGGGUACGGGCAGACUAGAGUGCGGUAGGGGAGCGGGGAAUUCCUGGUGUAGCGGUGAAAUGCGCAGAUAUCAGGAGGAACACCAGCGGCGAAGGCGCCGCUCUGGGCCGUAACUGACGCUGAGGAGCGAAAGCAUGGGUAGCAAACAGG